rnacentral:rRNA from 1 species
UCGCGUGUUUAUCAAAAACAUGGCUCUCUGUAUAUUGAAGAUAGAGAGUCGGACCUGCCCGGUGAAUUUUUUAACGGCCGCGGUACUCUGACCGUGCAAAGGUAGCAUAAUCAUUUGCCUUAUAAUUGAAGGCUAGAAUGAAUGGUUUGACAAGAAUACAACUGUCUCUUUACAAUUACAUAAAAUUUUAUCUGCAGUUGAAGAAGCCUGCAUUUGAAUAAAAGACAAGAAGACCCUAUCGAGCUUAAAAAAAACUGGUGGAAUAACAAACUUAAUCCUAACUUAUAAAUAAAUAAAUAGUCAACUACUGGAAAUUUUGGUUGGGGCGACCGGGGAACAAAAAAAACUUCCUUUAUAAAAAUUUAGAUGCCCAAAUAUUGAUCCAGCAUUAUAUGAUUAAAGAAAUUAGUUACCGUAGGGAUAACAGCAUUAUCUUUUUUAAGAGUUCUUAUCGAAAAAAAGGUUUGUGACCUCGAUGUUGGACCAGAAUAUCCUAAAGAUGCAGCC